rnacentral:lncRNA from 1 species
GUCAUUUAUCUGUCAACAAUUAUGGUCGACAGACGACAGAGAUAUAAUGGCCCAGCUUAGUGCUUACGAUAAUCAGUGGCUCCAGAGCACGCGAGCAGGGAAGACCUUCGCUCCUAAGUUGCAAGUAGUGCCAGUGAAUCCUCCAAGUAACACCACUGUACUUUGUAAUCUUGAAGGAACACUUAUUCGCUGUUGAUCUUCCACAAACUACUACGAUGCAUAUGCAUAACAGACUUGUGUGGGGUUGGCCAGCCUUAUCAUUUUCCUAUGCUUCCACCAAGUCCUUCCAAUCCCCUUUGACUGCCAGCAAAGUUUAUGGAACGUCAGCAACCCUCAGUCAAGCUGGACAACGGAGUGCCCCUUCACCUUCGAGGGUGUGACUGUGGGCAACAUGACUGUUUUCAACGCUACUUGCACCCUCAAUGGCACAAUUUCGGAUAACCCCCUCCCCUGUCGUCCAAACUUCAUAGAUAUCUCGGGCACACGUAUUGCUCUUUACUGCUAUGCUGUUAAAGAACAUGAAGGUGGCUCGAACCGAACAUUAGGUUAAGGUUCCUUCAUGGUUCCUUCGUGUGCAAUGCAGUUCCAAAUUCCAUAUGAAGUAUUUGGUAAUGAAGUUAUCAGCCUCCUAUUUAGAUAAGACAACAGUACUCUACCGGCAAAACACCAUCAGAAGGAGUGAUUUAAUGUUAAAGUUCCAGAAACAAUGGAAUACAAUCGCCUUAAACCACCUGAGUCACUUGUUGGGUCACAUAGUGCACUUUGAUAUUACUGUAGUAUUAAUAAAACUAAGGUACAGUUGCCUCCAUGUGAAUGUGCCAUGCCCUGGGAGUGUGUGAGGGCACAAGUACAAGAUGUGACAAUGCAGUGCCAUAGUUUAAUAAGUAAUAUAAAAACAAUAAUGACAAACAAAUACUGCAAAGCAUCCAUAUGAUAAGUGUGCUUCAGCAUUGAUGUGUGGCCACUCAAAUGGUAAUUUCACUGUUUCACGCCCAUUCAUUCAGCCCUGACUAGUGCUGUGUUGCUACAUCUCGUACCCAAGCCCUCACAUACACUUUGGUAUGCUCGUGUGGAGGCAACUAUAAAUCCUCUUGAAUUCUGUAAUGUUGAAUCUUGGUAUCUAGUCUUUUGCCCUCUUAAGGAUGAUAGAGGACAUCUGUAGAGGUUUUAAAAUUGAGUGGUAGUAUGGUGUAGCUUGAUAGAUGAGUGUCCUGUAGUGUUUAUAGAACCAAUUUUUUAGGUAUGAGUUGGAUGCAUCAUGUCACAGCUGCUAUCUUGUUUCAAAGUACUCAUAAGCUGAGAGAGCAGGUUUGUAAGAUGAUCACUAGCUUUCAUUUAAAUAUAAAAUUGUAGUAGCACUAAUUCAACUUAGGUAUGUAUUGUAUCUUAACAUUCUGUAUACAUUCUUGGAAAAUAGUGCUGUAAGAAGCAGCUCUCUAAGUGUUCAGUAUAACAUGAUUCAAAUAAAUAGAUAUUUGCAAUACGUACUGUGGUGCUCUUUCUUACCCAUGAAUGAUGUACAGUAUGAGACUGUACACAUGAUACAUGCAUCAAAAACAUAUACUGUACUGUACUAAUAAAACUAUUCAUGGUGGAUAUAAAAAUAUACAAGAAAUUCUAUAGAGUACUCGGUAGUAUAGUUGGUCGGACCUUGAAUAAGAUUGACUACUGUCUGCUGUCACUCACAACACAAUCCUUCUUAAAAAUCCUCCUUGAACUAGUCUAUCUUCUAUCAACAAAUUAGUGGAUUGGGCAGUUGCUCUUACUUUGUGUGCAUUUUUGUGGAAUAAUUCAAAUGGUUGAUGCAGCCUAACCUAAGCUAUGCACUACUGUACUUUAUUCUCUCUGCCACUGAUCAUCUGUUAGCCACUUGGGAAGUCGUUCAACUCUCUAUUACGCACUACAGCAUUGAUAAGUACUGGGCAAGCACUGGUUCCAGAAUGUAUCUGUACCUGCAUCAAUAUUGGUCGAGUCUGUUUUUGAAUGAGCUCACAUUUGGUGCCAUCACAAAGCUUUCUGGCAGAUUGUUCCAAGACUUCACAACUGUCACUCCAUAAAAGUUUGCCAUGACAAUUUUCUGAAUUUAUGACUUCCUUAACCUGAGGCUGUUACCUUAAGUGGGGCAGACAUCCACUAGUUUCAGGAAUGAGCAUUCGACUUUGUAAUGUCCUCCGAUGUGCUUAUAGACUUUUAUAAAGUUACCCCUUGUCUGCUUAUAGUAUAAGCAAAGGAAUUGCAGGCAUUCUAAUCUCUGGGUACCUGAGGUGCCAGAGUACAAGUACCAGUCUGGUGGCACCUCUAGAUAUUUUCAAUCAACUUGUACAGUACUGUAUGAUGAUUUUACUGAAUAAAUAUUCAAAUUAUUAAACCUAGAAUAUUAAUAACUGUACAGAUAGUUAACACCACACACUUCACUGUGCUUCACAUUAAUAUAUAAUUAACCUCACCACAUCAUCUGGCAACCUAUGCACACCAGCCUGUGGCAACCAACCAACACACAAAGUAGUUCAGCCUUCACACUCAAGGACAAAUACAAAAUACUUAUG